rnacentral:antisense_RNA from 1 species
UCCUAAAGAAUCACAAAAAGAAAGACCCUAGCUGUCUGAAUGAUCUGAGCUAAGCCCCCAGACAUGCACGUGUGGCCAUCCUAGACCACUGAGCUCCAGCCAAGCCAGCUUGCAUCAGAAGAACUGUCCAGACAACUCACAGAAUCAUAAGAAAUAAUGCAGCACAGCUUAACUUGGACUCAUCACCUAUCAAGUGCUCGACAGCCACGUGUGCAGUGGUUACUACAUUGAGCAGCAUAGCUCCAGAGAUGCAAAUAUUAAUGAGGACAGUGCUAGUUAUAGAGUUGCUGAGCAAUCUAGGUACCCUUGUACGAACCACUGCCCCAGGGGAAGAAACAGAACUCCACAAGGUAGCAGUGUGGGUGUAGUAUCUGCACGUGCCCAUGUUAUGGGAAUGUAGAUGGGGAGUGACCGCCACCAACAGAAGUGUGGCCAUCUUGCCCGAGAUGCAUGAGGAACUCCUGUUUUUAGAUGCUGCUGCCCGAGGCCCGUAUUUCAUGCUAUGGCUUUUGUCAUUUGAAUUAUCAGUAGCUGUCUCGGAGCUAAUAG